rnacentral:tRNA from 1 species
GGAGAGGUGGGUGAGUGGUUUAAACCAGUAGUUUGCUAAACUGCCGUACUUCGAAAGAGGUACCGCGGGUUCAAAUCCCGCCCUCUCCG